rnacentral:rRNA from 1 species
GAACCGUACGAACGUUAUUCGGAAUUACUGGGCUUAAAGGGUGCGUAGGCGGCUUGGGGAAAGUUGGGGUGUGAAAGCCCUCGGGCUCAACCGAGGAAUGGCGCCCAAAAACUGCCAGGCUUGAGGGAGACAGAGGUGAGUGGAACUUAGGGUGGAGCGGUGAAAUGCGUUGAUAUCCUAAGGAACACCAGUGGCGAAAGCGACUCACUGGGUCUCUUCUGACGCUGAGGCACGAAAGCUAGGGGAGCGAACGGGAUUAGAUACCCCGGUACGUCCUAGCUGUAAACGAUGAGCACUGGGUCGGAGAGCCUUCCAUAGCUUUCCGGCCGAAGCGAAAGUGUUAAGUGCUCCGCCUGGGGAGUAUGGUCGCAAAGGCUG